rnacentral:tRNA from 1 species
GGUUGAUUAGUUAAAUAGAAGAUAAUAUAAGUUUGUCAAGCUUAAGUUGUCCUGAGAGGACAUCAUCCG